UACGUAGGGUGCGAGCGUUAAUCGGAAUUACUGGGCGUAAAGCGUGCGCAGGCGGUUCGUUGUGUCCGUCGUGAAAGCCCCGGGCUUAACCUGGGAACUGCGAUGGGAACUAGCGAGCUGGAGUGUGGCAGGAGGGGGUGGAAUUCCGCGUGUAGCAGUGAAAUGCGUAGAGAUGCGGAGGAACACCGAUGGCGAAGGCAGCCCCCUGGGCUAACACUGACGCUCAGGCACGAAAGCGUGGGGAGCAAACAGG
rnacentral:rRNA from 1 species